rnacentral:lncRNA from 1 species
AUCAUCUAUAGCAAUAAGAGAAGAGAGAGGAAAUGAAAUUGCAGAGUCAGAUGAGAGACUUGUUGUCGACCGCGUUUUAGGGGAUCGGGCCCUUAAGGAGAGACCCGAUCCGGUCCUGAGAGAACGGACCUUGGCGAAGCCAAAAGGAGAAUUAUGAGCCGCAAUACAACCUGAAGCCGAAAUGAAGAAGGUCCGCCAAAGUUGAAGGAAAAUCCGCCAAGGAGUCUUUAUUGAGCAAUUCAGCUGAAGAGGACUCUAGUAGCGAUCAUUCGGUCUACUAGGGUACCAUACAAUCAAAAUAAAGCCAUACUUAUACAAAAUUUCAGUCUGACAACCCUUUGAAUUUCCCGCCCUGCUUCCCCGCCCAUCUGAUCGUUGAUAGGCUAGAAGGUUGAACGAGGCGGGCUUUCGUUUCCCGCCUUGCUCCGUUGGCCCAAUAGGAAGCUGCCUUUUGUCUCUACUCGGGCCAAUCAGGAAAGAGAAGGCGGGAGUUAUCGAAACAAUGAGGUGACGGGACAGGAACUAGCGGAUUAAGUCCUGCUAGACCGAUUUCU